rnacentral:pre_miRNA from 1 species
AGUGUAAUUGUUGGUCAUAUGUUAACUUUCUGUUUUAACAUGUUGAGGAACUGCCAAAUUGCUUUCCCAAAUGACCAAACCAUUUUACAUUCCUACCAGCAAU